rnacentral:rRNA from 1 species
AUUGAACGCUGGCGGCAGGCCUAACACAUGCAAGUCGAGCGGUAGCACAGAGAGCUUGCUCUCGGGUGACGAGCGGCGGACGGGUGAGUAAUGUCUGGGAAACUGCCUGAUGGAGGGGGAUAACUACUGGAAACGGUAGCUAAUACCGCAUAAUGUCGCAAGACCAAAGUGGGGGACCUUCGGGCCUCAUGCCAUCAGAUGUGCCCAGAUGGGAUUAGCUAGUAGGUGGGGUAACGGCUCACCUAGGCGACGAUCCCUAGCUGGUCUGAGAGGAUGACCAGCCACACUGGAACUGAGACACGGUCCAGACUCCUACGGGAGGCAGCAGUGGGGAAUAUUGCACAAUGGGCGCAAGCCUGAUGCAGCCAUGCCGCGUGUGUGAAGAAGGCCUUCGGGUUGUAAAGCACUUUCAGCGGGGAGGAAGGCGGUGAGGUUAAUAACCUCAUCGAUUGACGUUACCCGCAGAAGAAGCACCGGCUAACUCCGUGCCAGCAGCCGCGGUAAUACGGAGGGUGCAAGCGUUAAUCGGAAUUACUGGGCGUAAAGCGCACGCAGGCGGUCUGUCAAGUCGGAUGUGAAAUCCCCGGGCUCAACCUGGGAACUGCAUUCGAAACUGGCAGGCUAGAGUCUUGUAGAGGGGGGUAGAAUUCCAGGUGUAGCGGUGAAAUGCGUAGAGAUCUGGAGGAAUACCGGUGGCGAAGGCGGCCCCCUGGACAAAGACUGACGCUCAGGUGCGAAAGCGUGGGGAGCAAACAGGAUUAGAUACCCUGGUAGUCCACGCCGUAAACGAUGUCGAUUUGGAGGUUGUGCCCUUGAGGCGUGGCUUCCGGAGCUAACGCGUUAAAUCGACCGCCUGGGGAGUACGGCCGCAAGGUUAAAACUCAAAUGAAUUGACGGGGGCCCGCACAAGCGGUGGAGCAUGUGGUUUAAUUCGAUGCAACGCGAAGAACCUUACCUGGUCUUGACAUCCACAGAACUUUCCAGAGAUGGAUUGGUGCCUUCGGGAACUGUGAGACAGGUGCUGCAUGGCUGUCGUCAGCUCGUGUUGUGAAAUGUUGGGUUAAGUCCCGCAACGAGCGCAACCCUUAUCCUUUGUUGCCAGCGGUUAGGCCGGGAACUCAAAGGAGACUGCCAGUGAUAAACUGGAGGAAGGUGGGGAUGACGUCAAGUCAUCAUGGCCCUUACGACCAGGGCUACACACGUGCUACAAUGGCAUAUACAAAGAGAAGCGACCUCGCGAGAGCAGGCGGACCUCAUAAAGUAUGUCGUAGUCCGGAUUGGAGUCUGCAACUCGACUCCAUGAAGUCGGAAUCGCUAGUAAUCGUAGAUCAGAAUGCUACGGUGAAUACGUUCCCGGGCCU